ensembl:snoRNA
UAGACCAAGGAUGAGAGCAUGUCAUGAAGCAGGGCUUAUAAUUAAUCCAGUUCCGAGGAGCUGAGGUCCAAU